rnacentral:rRNA from 1 species
AGCGAACGCUGGCGGCAGGCCUAACACAUGCAAGUCGAACGAACCCUUCGGGGAUAGUGGCGGACGGGUGAGUAACACGUGGGAACGUGCCUUUAGGUUCGGAAUAACUCAGGGAAACUUGUGCUAAUACCGAAUGCGCCCUUCGGGGGAAAGAUUUAUCGCCUUUAGAGCGGCCCGUGUCUGAUUAGCUAGUUGGUGAGGUAAUGGCUCACCAAGGCUACGACCAGUAGCUGGUCUGAGAGGAUGACCAGCCACAUUGGGACUGAGACACGGCCCAAACUCCUACGGGAGGCAGCAGUGGGGAAUCUUGCGCAAUGGGCGAAAGCCUGACGCAGCCAUGCCGCGUGGAUGAUGAAGGUCUUAGGAUUGUAAAAUCCUUUCACCGGUGAAGAUAAUGACUGUAGCCGGAGAAGAAGCCCCGGCUAACUUCGUGCCAGCCGCCGCCGUAAGAC